rnacentral:lncRNA from 1 species
UGAUCAGGGCAUUAUAAUCUUUUCUUCCUUUCUCCAGACUCCCUUUUAGAUUUGGUUCUGACUAAAACUGUUGUUUAAAUCUCGCCAUGAAUGGGCUGUUUCUAAGUGAGGAGUCUGUCUGGAAACUCUUGUAGUCUCAAAUUCCAUUUCAUUGCAUUUCAUUGUGGAAUAUCACAGACUAGGAGUCCAUGAUAUUGGGUCAAAUUAUUGAUCCAUGGAUCAAAUUUGAUCCAUGAUUAUGGAUCAGAUCCCUAAAUUGUGAACUGUUCAGAAUUGGGCUGUAAGUGGAAUGAUUCCUUGCUGAACUCUAUGAAUAUUGUGCCAUUGAUUUCAACAAGGCCAAAAUACUAUCUAUCAUGUAGUAUCAUCAAACUAUUACCAUCUACUUUGCUUGCGUAUUCCAAAACAGCAGAAAUUAUAGAAAGUAAAUAGCUCAGAUCAUCAUGAAAGAUUACUGUUCUUGUUAUUUGAUGAAAAAAUGAAAGGCAUUUUAAUGGUGUAAAAAAAAUAUAAAUUACUCUGUAACCAUAAUCAAAGCUACCUUUAGGCUGUCUGUUAAAUUUAUAAACUCAUAAAAGGAGGUAUAGAAACAAACUUAUUAAAAAUAAUGUACAAAGCACAAUUUCAGAUAUCAGAACUUUGAUUUUCUUUAGUGAAGAGAAAUUUGCUGAAUCGUGAUCUACACUGUUCCCAUAAAGGAUGUGAAUGGGUAAUCUUGCACUCUCUCAGAAAAAACCUAAUAAUGGGAAACUGCUGUUUCACAUUACUGAAAUGAUACUCUAUUAAAUAAAACUAUGCAUCUUUUAAGAUGACAGUAUGCUGAGAGAUUUAUGUGAUUUAGGAGAAUGAAGACGGUCUGAUUUCAUUUACACCUGUCUAACACAGAAUAAUUUCUGAAAGGUUCUUCAUGUAUGCUGGUAUAAAUUCAACGUUUAGUUUACUGUCUUUACUGAGAAAGAUAUUGUGGUGUUUAAGAACAUGACCUGGAUUUGUCUAGCUCACAUUAAGUAAUAUUACUUUCACAGCUAAAUAAGAAACAUUGUCACUCUAGAAUCAGUGGAAAGUGAGUGUUGCCUUCAAAGGCAAAUCAGACAUUGCUUACCCCUUUUUAAAUUCUCAACAGCCAAGGGUGACUCAACCCUUAUUUUAGAUGCCCACUAAAAAAGUCUUAAAUGAAGGGUGAAUUUGGCUUUCAGUGUGUAUGGUCUUAGAUCUAACUAGAUUUCUGUGCCUAAGCAGUUCUAGUACAUACACUGUCCAAACAAAAUUUUGUGAAACAUCCUGCAUAAAAUAAAACUAUUGUUAG